AUUGAUAUACAUAAUUCAUUAAAUUACAACAAAUGAAUUUCAAUUUGUAAUACUUGUUAUAAGUUGAGUAUAAUUAUCAUUUACAUGAGAAAAACUUAACUAUAAUAGCAAUAUACUUACAUUGAUUAAGAAAUAAUAGCAACGUACUUACUCUUUUUUACAUAAGAUAGCAAAAAGAACAAUCCCGCAAUUGGUAACCAAUUAUGUAGUAUUUUUUUUCUGCCACAAAGUAAUGAUUUUUGGCAUAAGGUCCAAUAGCACGAGUUGUUGGACGUGAGAAGAUUCAAUUUUCGUUGCUAAGAUGCAAAACCUAUAAAUAACAAAAAAAAAAAAAAAAGAUGAAAAUAUAUGAAGAGAUGAAGAAAGCGAUCGAGGGAGACAUACUUGGAAAUAGGGGGAGGUUGAAGAUAAAUUUGUAAUUUGAAACAAUUGAAUUUGAAUGGAAAAUCGAGUUGGGUUUUAAGAGCACCGAGAGAGGUGGCCUUUAAUUUUCUCAAUUAGAAGUAGACUUUUUUAAAUCGCAAUGUUUUCAUAUUGAUGCUUCUUCCAAUUAUUAGCAUUCUAAAAAUCAACACCUUUUUCACCCCAAUAUUCUUCCACUUGUAGAUCAACAUGUUUUCUCACAUUCUCAGCUUGCUACACAUCAAUGAAAGAUAAAAACUUCAUGAUUGUGUGUAUAAAAAGCAUAUUGGAAGCAAAUGUAAUAAAUAUACUACCUGAUCUGGUCUCCAAAAAGUGAAAAAAUGCUAUUGUGUUCGGCUUCAAUGCUUGUUCCAUAGUUUCUAUUUGAUAAUGAUCAAAAUUCCAAAAAUAAUUGCAUCAAGAAACACUUACAACUAAUCAAAAUACUUAAACUAAUCAAGAAUUUUCAUUCAAAUCAUGUAAAAAAUACCUUCUGUAAGGCUAUUGUGAAGAUAAGGAUGCUUGAAAUCGUUUUUCAUUGAUCUGAAACCGUAAAAAAAAUAAGCGUUCAAUUUUUUUUCAAGAAAAGCAUCAGGAUAUCAAAAGUACCAAAUCUGUGUGAAGCAAAAAUGACAAGAGGGAAGCAACGACGUUAAGUGAAGCCAAUCGGAAGUAUCAAACAGCAGGGAGGGAAGCAAAUGACUGAGUGGCUUCUAGGGUUUUUAGAAAGAACAAAGGACCAUUGUGUUAGGUGAUGGUGAAAGAAAGGCGAUGGCAGAAAUCGUGCUGGUGAAUAUAUUAGAGUCGGGAGAAAGAGAGAAAGGGAAGCCGAUGAUGGUGGGAAACGGAUUAGGGUUUUAAUAAGAGAUAAAGUUAAGAGAAUAGCUGACGAGGUGGCUGAUUUCUAGGCUUCAAUAUGUAAAGUUUUAAAGUGUUACACAUCGAAGCAUUGAAGGGUAGAUGGUAAAUGUGUAAUUUAACUUUCG
rnacentral:lncRNA from 1 species